CGCGUAGGCGGCCGAUUAAGUCGGGGGUGAAAGCCUGUGGCUCAACCACAGAAUUGCCUUCGAUACUGGUUGGCUUGAGACCGGAAGAGGACAGCGGAACUGCGAGUGUAGAGGUGAAAUUCGUAGAUAUUCGCAAGAACACCAGUGGUGAAGGCGGCUGUCUGGUCCGGUUCUGACGCUGAGGCGCGAAAGCGGUGGGGAGCAAACA
rnacentral:rRNA from 1 species